GACUUCGUAGCUCAGCGGUAGAGCGUCUGAUUCCAGUCCAGAAGGUCAUCCGUUCAAUCCGGGUCGAGGUCA